rnacentral:rRNA from 1 species
GACGAACGCUGGCGGCGUGCUUAACACAUGCAAGUCGAACGAAGUGGCGAACGGGUGUGUAACGCGUAAUCAACCUGCCCUUCAGAGGGGGACAACAGUUGGAAACGACUGCUAAUACCGCAUACUGAAGGAGGGGAUUGCGUCUGAUUAGCUAGUUGGAUGGGUAACGGCCCACCAAGGGGAUGAUCAGUAGCCCGUCUGGGAGGUGGAACGGCCAAAUAGGGACUGAGACACGGCCCAGACUCCUAAGGGAGGCAGCAGUGGGGAAUCUUCCGCAAUGGACGAAAGUCUGACGGGGCAACGCCGGGUGGGUGAUGACGGCCUUCGGGUUGUAAAGCUCUGUUAAUCGGGACGCGGUACCGGAAUAGAAAGCCACGGCUAACUACGUGCCAGCAGCCGCGGUAAUAC